CAGCCGCCACGGUAAUACGUAGGUGGCAAGCGUUGUCCGGAAUUAUUGGGCGUAAAGGGCUCGCAGGCGGCUGUGUAAGUCUGUCUAGAAAGUGCGGGGCUAAACCCCGUGAGAGGAUGGAAACUGGACAGCUGAGAGUGUCGGAGAGGAAAGCGGAAUUCCUAGUGUAGCGGUGAAAUGCGUAGAUAUUGGGAGGAACACCAGUGGCGAAGGCGGCUUUCUGGACUGCAAUCGACGCUGAGGCUCGAAAGCCAGGGGAGCGAACGGGAUUAGAUACCCGAGUAGUCCCUGUCUCUUAUAC
rnacentral:rRNA from 1 species